rnacentral:lncRNA from 1 species
AGGAGACUCAUCUUAGUGACUCGGGAAGGUUCAUUAAUGAUUGAACCAUUCAAAAGCUGAAGUCUGGAUUCCUUGUCCACAGCUAAUGAAAGUGGCAGUGUGAGUGCCAUUGAAGCCACUGUGACUGUUUAUUGCAUUAGAGACUUCAGUAGCAGAUCUCAUCUCACACAGCUCUAUCCCAACACUGGAGAGCAGCCUGCCCUAUUCCAUCCAAGACCUUGGAGGGGUUCUGAAUUAUUAACCGCCUCCCCACUUUACCUUUCCUUAUCUAAAUGGACCCAGAGAUCUAGUGACAAGAUCACACAUCUGAAAAAAGAAUUGCUGACAAACUCCCACCACCCUCCCCA